GACGAACGCUGGCGGCGUGCUUAACACAUGCAAGUCGAACGGUGAUGAUCAAGCUUGCUUGGUCUGAUCAGUGGCGAACGGGUGAGUAACACGUGAGUAACCUGCCCUUCACUCUGGGAUAAGCCUUGGAAACGAGGUCUAAUACCGGAUAUGAGACGCACAGGCAUCUGUAGCGUCUGGAAAGAUUUAUCGGUGAGGGAUGGGCUCGCGGCCUAUCAGCUUGUUGGUGGGGUGAUGGCCUACCAAGGCGACGACGGGUAGCCGGCCUGAGAGGGCGACCGGCCACACUGGGACUGAGACACGGCCCAGACUCCUACGGGUGGCAG
rnacentral:rRNA from 1 species